rnacentral:rRNA from 1 species
UACGUAGGGUGCGAGCGUUAACCGGAAUUACUGGGCGUAAAGCGUGCGCAGGCGGUUUUGUAAGCCAGAUGUGAAAUCCCCGGGCUUAACCUGGGAAUGGCAUUUGGGACUGCAAGGCUCGAGUGCGGCAGAGGAGACUGGAAUUCCUGGUGUAGCAGUGAAAUGCGUAGAUAUGCGGAGGAACACCGAUGGCGAAGGCAAUCCCCUGGGCCUGCACUGACGCUCAUGCACGAAAGCGUGGGGAGCAAACAGG